ACUAAGAAUGUUGUUUAAAUGGAAAUAAAAAAAUGCAUAAACUAAGUUUUUAUGUUUCUAUGCACAAAUGAUCAAAUGUUUCCUUUAGUUUCCCCUUACCUGAUUAAAAGGUUUUCUGGAAAAAAGGCUUAUGUUAGUUGAAACAGAUACUAAGUCCUGGCUGGAAAAAGUUUAAUGAUCUAUUUUUAUGUGACAACCCUAAAAAUAAUUUUAUAUUUUCUUAAAUAAAUUCGCCUUCAAACGACUUUUAUAACUCAAACGAAAUAUUACAUGAAACUGUUGCAGUAAUGAAACGAGAUUAUCGUCAGAACGAGAUUAAAUGCUAUGAGUAAAGCAACAGAUUAAUUUGGAUUUCACUUCGUUUGCUUCAGCCAUUUUCCAGUAAACAGCGCCGAAAAUUUAAUGAAUUUAAUGAUAUCGUUUGAUGGUCCGCUUUUGGUGUUGUUAAUAUUUUGUUUAUUUUUGCUAUCGUAUCUUUCCUUCUUAUCAUUUAGUACGAUAGACGUAUGGAAAGACAAAUUAAGGUUAUGAAAAGAAGAAAAAGACCUAGAAGGAACUACAUAGACCAACUGAAGGAUAUAAAGAAUAAUUUCUGGAGUUUCUUGUCGGAUCUUCUUCAUAGGAAUUAUAUUUUAGAACCGUGCACCAGAGUUAUUACUGUAACUAUUAAAAAGCACCCGGGAAACGAGCUACUUGAAAUAAAAACUUUAGAUAAGGCAGAAGUGUAAUCAUACGAAGAUUUAAAGGAGGUAGUACUAGAUUGAAAAAGCUGCAUCAACAAGUAGGUACAUUAGAUGUGAUGAGAUAUUUACAUGAUGAAAGUGACCAAGUUGAUGGCAAUUUUUGUUACAGAUUAGCAACUAUAAUUUAUUGUGUUCAGUGUACAUUUGUAUGAUAUUGUAACUGUGUUACCUUGCACGUGGUUCUAACACUGCAAGUAGAAAUUAAAAGUCUAUUAAAAUUGAUUUAUUCGUUCUCAAAUAAAUGACCAGGUAAGCAAUCAAGGAACCUUGUUUUAUUAACGCAAUUAUGAUUGCGUGAAGUUAUGAAUAAUUCGCACAAGUUCAAUUUGAGAAUGCUUGUUCGUAACGAAUGGGAACGUGUGUGGUAAUUAUAAGAAAUGAGAGAUUAGUAUUUACUUGGAUUUCAAAUGAUAAACCAAAUCCAUGGGGUUAAGAAACAGCUGAUUUGAGGUUAUAUGUUAAAAUGGUGCCAUUACUUCUUCUGUUUUCUUUUAUUGGAGGCUUACAAUCAGCAUCAUAUACCGAAAGUUUGCAAGAGACACCUUCGGAAUUUAAGGAUGAAAAAGGCUGUUAUGUGGAUAGAAUCAAGGAGGUAAUCCCUUUUGAGGGGUUCUCCGUACUUCCUCGAGAAUGCAUGAGAAUUGACUGCAAUGUGACCCUAAUUACGUAUAACACAUGUGAUGUUGAAGAGCUUCCUAGUGAACCAAACAGUACCUGCGUAUUUAAGAAUGAUCCAAACGAGUUUUAUCCCGAUUGUUGUCCCAGAAUUGUUUGCGUCGAAGAAGAGGAUUUACAUGAUAACAACUAAACUGUGGAAUCUUUUUUUUUUGUUUUAUUUAUAUUAAGCCUUCGUUUUUAGUCAAAUAUACUUUAACUUUCAUACGAGAUAAUGGAUUGAAAUGAAAUCAUUUACCCUGUAAGUAGGAUAUAUUAUCAUCACUUCUACAUGUCUCCUUUUUUUGAGAUCGCUGGAGUCGGCAUUUCCUAUCUGAAUAACCUGAGAAGAAACGUCGAAAAAAACUCAGGGGUCACAGUCUCUUUUGAAGUCCAGACAAUUUCAAUGCGAAUAGAAAUGCAUAAACCAAUGUACGGUAUUUUUUUGGAUUGGCCUUUUGAAGAAAGUAUCAGAUCAAUCUGAGCAAGGGGGAAAAAAAGAAACUCAUAAGAAAUAGAGAUUACAACUGUGGAUGCACACUUCUCAUAACUCACCGAAAUUGUAUACAAAUUAUGAAUUAGUCAAUUUACAUCCAUAAUAGCUACAGUACCUACGUACACAACAAAAAUUGAAAGUAUCACAGUAAUACUUGUUGAGAUAGCCGUAGGAUGUAAUCGAUUUGUGUAUGA